UACGGAGGGUGCAAGCGUUAUCCGGAUUCACUGGGUUUAAAGGGCGUGUAGGCGGGUAUUUAAGUCAGUGGUGAAAUCUCCGGGCUCAACCCGGAAACUGCCAUUGAUACUAUUUAUCUUGAAUCUUGUUGAGGUAGGCGGAAUACAUCAUGUAGCGGUGAAAUGCUUAGAUAUGAUGUAGAACACCGAUUGCGAAGGCAGCUUACUAAACAAGCAUUGACGCUGAGGCACGAAAGCGUGGGGAUCAAACAGG
rnacentral:rRNA from 1 species